rnacentral:lncRNA from 1 species
UAAGAUUUAGUGUCAAGCUUAGAUUGCACAAGACCAUAGUAUUGGUCCUAGGGAUGAUCCUAUGAAUGCUUGGACUGAUCUGUAAUCCGAAACUCUUAAAGACAGAUUCUACAUAAAUGGUCCAUGAUCUCGACUUCAAGACCAUUUCAUUCACUAAAAAAGAAACUAAUCAGAGAAGAGAGCCCCCUGCAUUUACAAAAACUGCGGAUGUCAAAAGAUCUGCAGUAGGUAAGCACAACCUCCUCCACCUACAACCCCAAAAAUUAGUUUCAAGGAGAAAGAGCAGUAUCUGCUAUGGCCAUGAACGAAAGAAACUCGUGGGACAGACCCCUAUACAGGAUGUGCCAACUCAUAAACAGCGAAAGGCAACAAAUAAACCCCAAUUAAGUAAAGAAAAGAAUAGAAUCUAUGCCAGUUCCAACCUAUGAGCAAACAUCGGCAUUUGGCACAUUCCAGAGCACCUUACAACAGCAAGCCACCAUGAGAUGAUAAGCAACAAAAGCUCACCAGCAUACCAUGGAACCAGUCACGAUCCCAAGUCGAUCCCUCAAUAAGAACGUAAUAAACAACCUCAAAACAAGCAAC